rnacentral:hammerhead_ribozyme from 1 species
AUCCAUCUGACGAGUCACGAAUAGGCCAAAACGCGCGUCCUGGAU